AUCUUAUGGUUUGGGCAUUGAGUCAACUUAUUUUUAAACCUCUCCUAAGUCUCAUGCAAAGCUUCAUUAGCCAAUUGUCUAAAGUUGCUGAUUUCAUAUCUUAGCU
rfam:Capsicum annuum cultivar Zunla-1 chromosome 7, whole genome shotgun sequence